rnacentral:rRNA from 1 species
UACGGAGGGUGCGAGCGUUAUUCGGAAUCACUGGGCGUAAAGCGUGCGCAGGCGGCCCGUUAAGACAGGUGUGAAAUCCCUGGGCUCAACCUAGGAAUUGCGCUUGUGACUGGCGGGCUCGAGUACGGUAGAGGGGGGUAGAAUUCCAGGUGUAGCGGUGAAAUGCGUAGAGAUCUGGAGGAAUACCGGUGGCGAAGGCGGCCCCCUGGACAAAGACUGACGCUCAUGCACGAAAGCGUGGGGAGCAAACAGG